GUGUUGGGUUAAGUCCCGCAACGAGCCGCAACCCCUACUGCCAGUUACUAACAGGUAACGCUGAGGACUCUGGCGGAACUGCCGGUGACAAACCGGAGGAAGGUGGGGAUGACGUCAAGUCAUCAUGGCCCUUAUGUCCAGGGCUACACACGUGCUACAAUGGACGGUACAACGUGACGCGAAACCGUGAGGUCAUAGCAAAGCACAAAAAGCCGUCCGUAGUUCGGAUUGAAGUCUGAAACCCGACUUCAUGAAGUUGGAAUCGCUAGUAAUCGCGCAUCAGCAUGGCGCGGUGAAUACGUUCCCGGGCCUUGUACACACCGCCCGUCACACCAUCCGAGUUGGAGGUACCCAAAGCCGGUAGCGUAACCGUAAGGAGCGCGCUGUCUAAGGUAAAUUUAGUGAGGAGGGUGAAGUCGUAACAAGGUAGCCGUACUGGAAAGUGCGGCUGGAUCACUCCUUUCU
rnacentral:rRNA from 1 species